rnacentral:rRNA from 1 species
AUUGAACGCUGGCGGCAGGCCUAACACAUGCAAGUCGAGCGGAUGAAGGGAGCUUGCUCCUGGAUUCAGCGGCGGACGGGUGAGUAAUGCCUAGGAAUCUGCUUGGUAGUGGGGGAUAAUGUCCGGAAACGGGCGCUAAUACUGCAUACGUCCUGAGGGAGAAAGUGGGGGAUCUUCGGACCUCACGCUAUCAGAGGAGCCUAGGUCGGAUUAGCUAGUUGGUGGGGUAAAGGCCUACCAAGGCGACGAUCGGUAACUGGUCUGAGAGGAUGAGCUGUCACACUGGAACUGGAACACGGUCCAGGCGCCUGCGGGAGGGAGCAGUGUGGAAUGUUAGGCAGUGGGCGAGAACCUGAUCCAGCCAUGGCACGUGUGUGAAGAAGGUGUUCGGAUUGUGAAGCAGUUUAUGUUGGGGGAAAGGGCAGUAAGUUAAUACCUUGCCGUUUUGACGUUACCGGCAGAACAAGCACCGGCUAACUUCGUG